rnacentral:lncRNA from 1 species
ACCACCAGCUCAGGAGACACAGAAUGGCUCCCUGUCCCUUGCGCAGAGCCCUCCCGGGAACGCCAAAAGGAAGCAGGGCACGCCUGCAGGAAGCUCCUACUGGCUCAAGUCUGGACUUUAAGUGCUUCCAUAAGGAUAACAACUGCCAGGAAUGGAACUUCAAGAGAUUAUUUUGGCAAGUCUUGAGUUCCCGAUGCUCUUUCAUUGCAAAGUAACUCCUGGAUCACGGCUGGUUUUGUUUGUGGUCGGUUUCCUGGUGGUUUUGGAGGCUGAGGAUGAUCUCCACCCCUGGGGAAUUCAGGGGAAGCGUGGACCCUGAACCUCGGUACUCUGUCCUGCUACCCUUGGACGUGCCCCUUCACCAAAGGGCAGCCAUGGCACGAGGACCCUUAGGACACCAGGGACACAGCUAAGAACUGGAAGCGAAAGGAAACGAGGGAAGCAGUAUGUCCUCACCUCCACCACCACUGCCAAGGCACUGCCAAAGCUGUCCUGGACCUAGGGCACGGAGGGGUGCUUCGCUGGGACUUGGCGGCCUUCCAGGACUGACCAGGAGACACAAGGUGCCUAGAGACCAGGGGACACACCAGCAGGCAGAUCCCUGCCACGAGGGUCCCUCCUGAGUGCCACCAAGGGCUCUGACCCAAGAGUAGACCUGCCUGGGGGUGGGGGGCAGGGUGUGCAGAGAGAAGGCAAGAGGGGAGGAGGCGGGGCCACGCGCCCGACGACACCCGAGCAGAGCAGGUCCUGUCCUGGGCACAUUCAUGGGACGGGACAGGACAGGACAGGACAGGACAGGACAGGACAGGACAGGGA